GCACAAAACUAUCAGAAGACAAAAACAUGUCAGACAAGAGGAACUGUUAAAGUGCUUCCACAGCAGUUGCACCAUUUUCCAGCAAUGGACAAGACAUUCAAUUUCUCCACAUCCUCACCAAUAUUCAUUUUCUGCAUUUUAAAAAUUACUAUUAUAGCCAUGCUGGUAGGUAUGAAAUGGUAUCUCCUUGUUGUUCUAAUUUGUAUUUCCCUACUAUGUUGAGCACCUUUUCAUGUGCUUAUUGGCCAUCUGUAUGUCUUCUUUAGAGAAAUGUCUAUUCAAGUCCUUUGCCUAUUUUUAAAUUGGGUUGUUUGUUUUCCUGUUGCUGAGUUAUAAGAAUUCUUUGUAGAUUCUAGAUACCAGUCCCUUAUCAGAUGUAUGAUUUGCAAAUACUUUCUCUCAUUCUGUAGGUUAUCUUCUCAUUUCUUUGACAAUGUCCUUUGAUGCACAAAAGUUUUUUAAUUUGAUAAAGUACAAUUUAUUUAUUUAUUUUCUUUUGUUGUUCAUGCUUUUAGUGUCAUAUCUACCUGCUGGUAUUUAGAUUGGGAUUGCACUGAACCUUGAGAUCUAUUUGAGAACUGACAUCUUACCAAUAUCAGAUCUUUUAACCCAUGAAUGUGGUAUAGCUCUUUUCUUUAGGUCUUCUCUAACUUGUCGCAGAAUGUUUUUAUAGUUUUCAGUGUGUAAAGAUUUUGCACAUAUUUUAUUAAAUUUUCCCCUGAUUACAAAUUUUGCUAUGGUCUGAAUCUCUGUGUUCUCCCCAAAUUCAUAUGUUGAAAUCCUAGCGCCUAAGGUGAUGGUAUCAGGAGGUGGGGCCUUUGGGAGGUGCUUAGAUCAUGAAGGCAGGACUCUCAUGAAUGGGACUGCUGUGCUUAUAAAAGAGGCCCCUGAGAGCUUGUUUGCUCCUUCCUCCAUGUGAGGACACAGCAAGAAGGUGGCUGUCUGCAACCUGGAAGAGAGCCCUCACCAGAACCCGACCACGGUUUCUGGCACCAUGCUGGCACCACGAUCUCAGACUUCCCAGCCACCACAACUGUGAGAAAUAAACUCCCGUUGUUCAUAAGCUACCCGGUCUAUGGUAUUUUAUUACAGCAGCCUCAACAGACUAAAACAGACUUUUAUUCUGUCUUAAACAGCAUUGUCUUUCAAAUUUCAUUUUCUAAUUGUUUUUGUUGGUAUGUAGAAAUGCAUUUACUUUUCUUUUCUUUCUUUCUUCUUUUUUUUUUUUCCCCCAAGUCUCACUCUGUUGCCCAGGCUGGAGUGCAAUCUCGGCUCACUGCAAUCUCUGCCUCCCAGGUUCAAGCCAUUCUUCUGCCUUAGCCUCCCGAGUAGCUGUGACUACAGGUGUGUACCACCACACCCAGCUAAUUUUUGUAUUUUUAGUAGAGACGGGGUUUCACCAUGUUGGCCAGGCUGGUGUUGAACUCCUGACCUCAGGUGAUCUGCCCACCCUGGCCUCCUAAAGUGUUUGGAUUACAGGCAUGAGCCACCAUGCCCAGCUGCAAUUUACUUUUCUACAUUGAUCCAUCUUGCAAACAUCCUACAUUUAGCUAUUAGCUUAAAUAGUCUUUGCAGAAUCCUCAGGUUUAUUUGUAUACAUCAUUUGCAAGUAGUUUUUAUUU
rnacentral:lncRNA from 1 species